UUGAGGAAAAAAACUAACUAAUAAUAAAUUAAAAAAUAAUUAUUUUUAUUUCAAGUUAAGCCAAAAGCAUUCGUCUGCUUAUAUGCUGAAAGGUUUCAGGGUUCGUUUGGUUUCGAUCGUUUUCUCAAAUUGAGCUACUGACGCCGUUUAAAAGAAAACACUGUUACACACGUAUGUCAUGUUCAAGUCCCCAUCCCGACCACGCCCAUCCCCCACUCUGGCCAUGUGGCCAGUGUGUAUACCGGAGUCCCCAUGGUGUCCAGCCCCUCCCCUCACGUAAGCUGUGAACUCUGCGUCAGAUCUUCACUGCAUGGACGAGAGCAGGCUGGAGUCAUGGAUCAGGGAGAGAUGGAAGAAGAUUUGACAACCAUUCAUGGUCACCGUGACAGCCCUUUAAAUUCUUCAGGAAAUGGACCAGAGCUCUUCUGACUCUACAGUGAUCCUUGAACUAAGUUCCGUCCCUGAAAAGGAGGACAUAAGUGUUCCUGAACUCAAGACAGCAGAAAGUGUAUUUGUAAGUUCACAUACAAUCCAAUGCACAACUUGGUCUGACAAUAACAGUAGUGGGGGAAAUUGUAUGGUUUUAACCUGUUAAGUCCGACGGACCUGGUACCGGUUCCACAGCACUAAGUGGUCGCAGCUAUUGUAAAUUUGUGCUUGUUUAAAACUCUAGCUUAAUCACAGCCAAAACAUCUUAAACUCUAGACCAAUACUUUUCUGAGCCAUUUUCAGAAAAUAUACAAAUUUGGCUCACUACCACUGAUGGGAUUUGGCCUACUCCUCCGGUACUUAAAUUUGGUAUUUAAUGAUAUGGCAUUUUUCUGUAAUCAAUAGUAUUAAAGGAGAACUCCUGGCAAUUUUUACAAUAUUCUUGCUAUACCUACUGUAUGUGAGUACCGUCGAUAG